rnacentral:tRNA from 1 species
GUCUUCGUGGCUCAGUUGGUUAGAGCGUCAGUCUCAUAUCAUAUUACAUAUGACUUGAUUGAAAACUUCAAGAUAUCUGAAGGUCGUGAGUUCGAGCCUCACCGAGGACA